AUUGAACGCUGGCGGAAUGCUUUACACAUGCAAGUCGAACGGCAGCACGGGGCAACCUGGUGGCGAGUGGCGAACGGGUGAGUAAUACAUCGGAACGUGCCCAAUCGUGGGGGAUAACGUAGCGAAAGUUACGCUAAUACCGCAUACGAUCUACGGAUGAAAGCGGGGGAUCGCAAGACCUCGCGCGAAUGGAGCGGCCGAUGUCAGAUUAGGUAGUUGGUGGGGUAAAGGCCUACCAAGCCAACGAUCUGUAGCUGGUCCGAGAGGACGACCGGCCACACUGGGACUGAGGCACGGGCCAGACUCCUACGGGAGGCAGCAGUGGGGAAUUGUGGGCAAUGGGGGGGAGCCUGAUCCUGCCAUUCCGCGUGCAGGAUGAAGGGCUUCGGGUUGUAAACUGCUUUUGUACGGAACGAAACGGUUCUCUCUAAUAAAGGGGGCUAAUGACGGUACCGUAAGAAUAAGCACCGGCUAACUACGUGCCAGCCGCCGCAGUAAAAC
rnacentral:rRNA from 1 species